rnacentral:rRNA from 1 species
UGGGAUCCGUGCCGUAGCUAACGCAUUAAGCACCCCGCCUGGGGAGUACGGCCGCAAGGCUAAAACUCAAAGAAAUUGACGGGGGCCCGCACAAGCGGCGGAGCAUGUGGAUUAAUUCGAUGCAACGCGAAGAACCUUACCUGGGUUUGACAUGCACAGGACGUGCCUAGAGAUAGGUGUUCCCUUGUGGCCUGUGUGCAGGUGGUGCAUGGCUGUCGUCAGCUCGUGUCGUGAGAUGUUGGGUUAAGUCCCGCAACGAGCGCAACCCUUGUCUCAUGUUGCCAGCGGGUAAUGCCGGGGACUCGUGAGAGACUGCCGGGGUCAACUCGGAGGAAGGUGGGGAUGACGUCAAGUCAUCAUGCCCCUUAUGUCCAGGGCUUCACACAUGCUACAAUGGCCGGUACAAAGGGCUGCGAAGCCGCGAGGUGGAGCGAAUCCUUUAAAGCCGGUCUCAGUUCGGAUCGGGGUCUGCAACUCGACCCCGUGAAGUUGGAGUCGCUAGUAAUCGCAGAUCAGCAACGCUGCGGUGAAUACGUUCCCGGGCCUUGUACACACCGCCCGUCACGUCAUGAAAGUCGGUAACACCCGAAGCCGGUGGCCUAACCCGUAAGGGAGGGAGCGGUCGAAG